AUUGAACGCUGGCGGCAGGCCUAACACAUGCAAGUCGAGCGGAUGAAGGGAGCUUGCUCCUGGAUUCAGCGGCGGACGGGUGAGUAAUGCCUAGGAAUCUGCCUGGUAGUGGGGGAUAACGUCCGGAAACGGGCGCUAAUACCGCAUACGUCCUGAGGGAGAAAGUGGGGGAUCUUCGGACCUCACGCUAUCAGAUGAGCCUAGGUCGGAUUAGCUAGUUGGUGGGGUAAAGGCCUACCAAGGCGACGAUCCGUAACUGGUCUGAGAGGACGACCAGUCACACUGGAACUGAGACACGGUCCAGACUCCUACGGGAGGCAGCAGUGGGGAAUAUUGGACAAUGGGCGAAAGCCUGAUCCAGCCAUGCCGCGUGUGUGAAGAAGGUCUUCGGAUUGUAAAGCACUUUAAGUUGGGAGGAAGGGCAGUAAGUUAAUACCUUGCUGUUUUGACGUUACCAACAGAAUAAGCACCGGCUAACUUCGUG
rnacentral:rRNA from 1 species